rnacentral:lncRNA from 1 species
UAAUGAGGGUUACGUAUUUCAAUGAAAAUAUAUUGUGUGAAAUGGGAGAGAUGAUCUUGGAUGGAAAUAAGGUUCGAAAUGAAGGAGAUGAUCGUGGAAAUAAGGUUCGUAAUGGACGAGAUGAUAGGGUUUGCAAAAGAAGAGAAGAACGAUGAAGGUUGAGAUGAUAGUGAAGUUUACGUAAUGAAUAGGAAACUGAAGAGGUAACUGUUAUAUAUACGUAACCCUUUUACAGCGCUUUUUAUAAGCCUUUUACAGCGCUUCUUUUGCAAAGCGCUCUAAAAGGCUUCUUUAGUUAAAUUUUUAAAAGGCUCUUUUACAGCGCUUUUCCCAAAAAGCGCUGUAAAAGACCCCCGUGUGUUAUUAUGUUAUAUGAAUGCCUUUUACAGUGCUUUUACACAAAAGCGCUCUAAAAUGUCUCUUUAUGUUAAUUUUAAAAGGCUCUUUUACAGCGCUUUUCCCAAAUAAGCGCUGUAAAAGACAUCCGUGUGUUAUUAUGUUAUAUGAAUGCCUUUUACAUCGCUUUUACACAUAAGCGCUCUAAAAUGUCUCUUUAUGUUAAUUUUAAAAGGCUCUUUUACAGCGCUUUUCCCAAAUAAGCGCUGUAAAAGACAUCCGUGUGUUAUUAUGUUAUAUGAAUGCCUUUUACAUCGCUUUUACACAUAAGCGCUCUAAAAUGUCUCUUUAUGUUAAUUUUAAAAGGCUCUUUUACAGCGCUUUUCCCAAAUAAGCGCUGUAAAAGACCU